UACGUAGGGAGCAAGCGUUGUUCGGAUUCAUUGGGCGUAAAGGGUGCGUAGGUGGCGCCGUAAGUCGGGUGUGAAAUUUCGGAGCUUAACUCCGAAACUGCAUUCGAUACUGCGGUGCUUGAGGACUGGAGAGGAGACUGGAAUUCAUGGUGUAGCAGUGAAAUGCGUAGAGAUCAUGAGGAAGACCAGUGGCGAAGGCGGGUCUCUGGACAGUUCCUGACACUGAGGCACGAAGGCCAGGGGAGCAAACGGG
rnacentral:rRNA from 1 species